UGGAGGCUUGCUGGCUGCAAAGUCAGCUCCUCUUAAAUGCAUUAGCAGUACUUUGUAGAAUCAGCUUCGGUUUGAUAGGAAUAUCUAUGCUGUCGCUGAGGAACGAAAUGGUGCAGCUUCUAAUUGUCUUCGGACUGUCUUUAAGUAGGCAUAUAUUGACUCUUGACCUCAAAUCAGGUAGGACUACCCGCUGAACUUAA
rnacentral:misc_RNA from 1 species